rnacentral:tRNA from 1 species
GGAAGGGUGGCCGAGUGGUCUAAGGCGCACGCCUGGAAAGCGUGUUUAUCCUGUUUAGGGGUAACAAGGGUUCGAAUCCCUUUCCUUCCGCCA